AGAGUUUGAUCCUGGCUCAGAACGAACGCUGGCGGCAGGCUUAACACAUGCAAGUCGAACGGACCCUUCGGGGUUAGUGGCAGACGGGUGAGUAACGCGUGGGAACCUACCUAUAAGUACGGAACAACACAGAGAAAUUUGUGCUAAUACCGUAUGUGGUCUUCGGAUUAAAGAUUUAUCGCUUAUAGAUGGGCCCGCGUUAGAUUAGCUAGUUGGUGAGGUAACGGCUCACCAAGGCGACGAUCUAUAGCUGGUCUGAGAGGAUGAUCAGCCACACUGGGACUGAGACACGGCCCAGACUCCUACGGGAGGCAGCAGUGAGGAAUAUUGGACAAUGGGGGCAACCCUGAUCCAGCCAUGCCGCGUGAGUGAUGACGGCCUUAGGGUUGUAAAGCUCUUUCAGUAGUGAAGAUAAUGACGGUAACUACAGAAGAAGCCCCGGCUAACUUCGUGCCAGCAGCCGCGGUAAUACGAAGGGGGCUAGCGUUGUUCGGAAUCACUGGGCGUAAAGCGCGCGUAGGCGGACUUUUAAGUCAGGGGUGAAAUCCCGAGGCUCAACCUCGGAACUGCCUUUGAUACUGGAAGUCUUGAGUUCGAGAGAGGUGAGUGGAAUACCGAGUGUAAAGGUGA
rnacentral:rRNA from 1 species